rnacentral:Y_RNA from 1 species
GGCCAGUCCAAGUGCGGUGGUAUUUACAACUAAUUGAUCACAACCAGUUUCAGAUUUCUUUGUUCCUUCUUCACUCCCACUGUUUCACUUGACUAGUCUUUA